rnacentral:rRNA from 1 species
UACGUAGGGGGCUAGCGUUGUCCGGAAUUAUUGGGCGUAAAGAGCUCGUAGGCGGCUUGUCACGUCGGGUGUGAAAGCCCGGGGCUUAACCCCGGGUCUGCAUUCGAUACGGGCUAGCUAGAGUGUGGUAGGGGAGAUCGGAAUUCCUGGUGUAGCGGUGAAAUGCGCAGAUAUCAGGAGGAACACCGGUGGCGAAGGCGGAUCUCUGGGCCAUUACUGACGCUGAGGAGCGAAAGCGUGGGGAGCAAACAGG